GACGAACGCUGGCGGCGUGCUUAACACAUGCAAGUCGAACGGAAAGGCCCUGCUUUUGUGGGGUGCUCGAGUGGCGAACGGGUGAGUAACACGUGAGUAACCUGCCCUUGACUUUGGGAUAACUUCAGGAAACUGGGGCUAAUACCGGAUAGGAGCUCCUGCUGCAUGGUGGGGGUUGGACAGUUUCGGCGGUUGGGGAUGGACUCGCGGCUUAUCAGCUUGUUGGUGGGGUAGUGGCUUACCAAGGCGUUGACGGGUAGCCGGCCUGAGAGGGUGACCGGCCACAUUGGGACUGAGAUACGGCCCAGACUCCUACGGGGGGCAGCGGUGGGGAAUAUUGCACAAUGGGCGGAAGCCUGAUGCAGCAACGCCGCGUGCGGGAUAACGGCCUUCGGGUUGUAAACCGCUUUCGCCUGUGACGAAGCGUGAGUGACGGUAAUGGGUAAAGAAGCACGGGCUAACUACGUG
rnacentral:rRNA from 1 species